GUUUAUGUGACUCAUGGUAUAUGCCAUUUAUUGGGUUAUACGCAUAAUACGAAAGAAGACUGGAAAUUGGUGAGUUGGUGUACUUGACGUACAUUUUAAUUCUUGUGAACGACGCUAUAUUUAUCACUUAUCUCAGUAAACAGGUGUUUUGUUAUAUAGUAUAAAAGUGUCAAAGUAUCAUGAAAUAAUUCACCGGUUAUUGGAGUGAACUUUGAAACCAAAACUAGAUAAAUGGAAUACCAUAAACGUUUAAUAAAAAAAGAUCAAUAAAAUGAAUUUUGGAACUUCACGGUUGACACGCAUGCGCACUGCACCCAUGCUAUUGUUGACCGGUCAACAAUUGUUUCAUUGUCAUGAGCAGUCAAUAGCGUUCCAGUUAUAUAUUCAUUCCAAUGGUCCUAUCUAACACAUUUAUUGUACUCUGUGAGUGGGCGCCGUUGUCACGUCACUGUCCUACUCACUUGAGAUCACUACAUAUGUUUCACAAGGUAUUUCACUUAUUUCUCGCCAACUGCGCGCUCAGAAUUAUUAGUUAAACGCCUGUAGUUGAAGAAACGAGUAAAGUUUUUGGUUUCAUUGCAGAUGUUUUCUAAAGAAAAGGAGAUUCUGUCAGCUUUCACUCAAAGAACAGGAAUAAACUGUAUACCAUUAACUUCGUAUUCAAACAAAUACUGCCUUGGAGAUAACAUGUGAAACAGGUGAAUUUGUUUGCGCUGGCCUGAAUGAUUACGGAGGCGCGCGAAAUUUUUUUUAGUUAUCAAAAUGAGCGAAAACGCAAGUUUUGAGUGUCUUUUUUGGCCAGGAAACAGUAGUCUUACAAGUAUUUAAAUUAAAUUUAUUGUUUAGGGAAAAAUUUGCUGGACAAUGGAUUACAUUACAUUUUUUUCUUAAAAGAUGCCAGUUGUUUUUGACUCCCUGACUAUGAAAUUAAAAAGCUUAACUUACAUGCAGUGGGUUUAUAAAGCACCAGGCUUCUUAUAGCUUUGACGAGGUUGCCUAAAAUUUUAGAGAACUGUACGGAGCCACCUUACGAUUGGAAUUGGAAAAAAUCAUAGGUUGCCCUAGCCUGCGCGCAGACUAUAUAAGGUUGCCCUCUCUCUCCCCCUAUAAUAUAAAACAUGCAGGGUGCAUGAUUUAACAGGCGUGAAGACCAGGACAGUAAAAUUACAAGAACUAAAACACCUCAAAACCAAGUAAGGUUUAAAAUACUUCUUAAAGCAAAUACCUUACACUGGGAAAUCUUUUUUCUCCAAAAUGCGUAACAGUAUACGUAGAACUUUUUGCACUUUUCCAUUGGAUUCCGAGGAUCAGGUUACGUAAAAAUUGGUUUCUUAUACAAGAAAGCUGCAGAUCGAGAGAGAUAAAACUAUACCUGAAAAAAUACAGGAAGAACUUCGAUGUUUCGAGCGAGCGAAGGCCUUUUGUUGAUUAAAACGUCGAAGUUCUGCUUGUUUUAGUUUUCAAGUAGUUAUAUCUCUCUCAAUCUCCGCAGCUUUGAAGUGACAUAUAUAAUAUGAUGCACAUACACUGCAGAAUCAUAAUUAUUAGAACUGAAUUAUGAACAAAAGUCAAGACUAAUUGCAUGGUAUCAAUUGAAAGUAAUCAACGUUAAUGAAUAGUAUAAAGAAGAAAGGGAUAGCACGUUCAACGGCAAGUUGGAUAUGUAAUCUUCACAUUUUCUUCAAUUCCAGACACCAAAUCUGCCCAGGUCUUCACGAUUCCAGUAGCUCCUCCAGAUUCGCAUUUUCUGGAGAUUCUCACGAUCUCGAAUGGAGAAAGGACUUUAUCCCAAAGAUUGACACCGGUAACCUCCCCGUCAGCUGUUUGAUACUCCUGAAAGUUACCUCCAAGCUUGUCUUGUUCUUGUCCUAAGACCCAUGUUCCAUUACAAGCAAGGGGAAUGCCAACUACUGCCCGGGAUUGAACCCAGAAUGCUUGGUUAAUAUUCUAACAUAGUCUCAUUAGUCUGGAACCAUAUAGCCUGUUUAUAACUAACGAGCAAUCCUGGUUAAAUUAGUCAGGACUAUGAUCAAAUUAACCAGGAAAUUUAAGGGAAUAUUAAGUUACCCCAAACAGUGUUAAUUUUAGGUUAUACUAGCAAAUUUUUAACCAAGAUAUUUUUAGAGUGCAUGCAGCACGUGACAGUAUUAACACGUGUUGCUUUGCAAGAAUUUUAGGUCCUGUUUUUUUUAAAUCAGCUCAAUAAUAUACCAAUAUAUAAAAGAAAGUCAAAAGUUAAACGCGGUUUUAUCGUUUAUCGGUG
rnacentral:lncRNA from 1 species